UACAAAGGAAGUUGACGGGGCCCGCACAAGCGUGGAGCAUGUGGUCAUUCACGCAACGCGAAGAACCUUACCUGGGCUUGACAUCCGCUGACCGUCCUGGAAACAGGAUCUUCCCGCAAGGGACGGCGAGACAGGUGCUGCAUGGCUGUCGUCAGCUCGUGUCGUGAGAUGUUGGGUUAAGUCCCGCAACGAGCGCAACCCUCAUCCUUAGUUGCCAUCAUUGAGUUGGGCACUCUAAGGAAACUGCCCCGGUUAACGGGAGGAAGGUGGGGAUGACGUCAAGUCCUCAUGGCCUUUAUGUCCAGGGCUACACACGUGCUACAAUGGCAGGUACAGAGGGCUGCGAAGCCGCGAGGUGGAGCGAAUCCCAGAAAACCUGUCUCAGUCCGGAUUGAAGUCUGCAACUCGACUUCAUGAAGGCGGAAUCGCUAGUAACCGCGAAUCAGCAGGUCGCGGUGAAUACGUUCCCGGGCCUU
rnacentral:rRNA from 1 species